rnacentral:rRNA from 1 species
CCUACGGGUGGCAGCAGUGAGGAAUAUUGGUCAAUGGACGAGAGUCUGAACCAGCCAAGUAGCGUGAAGGAUGACUGCCCUAUGGGUUGUAAACUUCUUUUAUAUGGGAAUAAAAUGUUCCACGUGUGGGAUUUUGUAUGUACCAUAUGAAUAAGGAUCGGCUAACUCCGUGCCAGCAGCCGCGGUAAUACGGAGGAUCCGAGCGUUAUCCGGAUUUAUUGGGUUUAAAGGGAGCGUAGAUGGAUUGUUAAGUCAGUUGUGAAAGUUUGCGGCUCAACCGUAAAAUUGCAGUUGAUACUGGCAGUCUUGAGUACAGUAGAGGUGGGCGGAAUUCGUGGUGUAGCGGUGAAAUGCUUAGAUAUCACGAAGAACUCCGAUUGCGAAGGCAGUUCACUAGACUGCAACUGACACUGAGGCUCGAAAGUGUGGGUAUCAAACAGGAUUAGAUACCCGUGUAGUC